rnacentral:rRNA from 1 species
UACGGAGGAUGCAAGUGUUAUCCGGAAUCACUGGGCGUAAAGCGUCUGUAGGUGGUUUAAUAAGUCUAUUGUUAAAGCUUGAGGCUUAACCUCAAAAAAGCAAUAGAAACUAUUAAACUUGAGUAUGGUAGAGGUAAAAAGAAUUUCCAGUGGAGCGGUGAAAUGCGUAGAUAUUGGAAGGAACACCGAUGGCGAAGGCAUUUUACUGGGCUAUUACUGACACUCAGAGACGAAAGCUAGGGUAGCAAAUGGG